rnacentral:rRNA from 1 species
GACGAACGCUGGCGGCGUGCUUAACACAUGCAAGUCGAACGGUAAGGCCCUUCGGGGUACACGAGUGGCGAACGGGUGAGUAACACGUGGGUGAUCUGCCCUGCACUUCGGGAUAAGCCUGGGAAACUGGGUCUAAUACCGGAUAGGACCACUGCCUGCAUGGGUGGUGGUGGAAAGAUUUUGCGGUGUGGGAUGGGCCCGCGGCCUAUCAGCUUGUUGGUGGGGUGAUGGCCUACCAAGGCGACGACGGGUAGCCGGCCUGAGAGGGGGACCGGCCACACUGGGACUGAGUUACGGCCCAGACUCCUGCGGGGGGCAGCAGUGGGGAAUAUUGCACAAUGGGCGCAAGCCUGAUGCAGCGACGCCGCGUGAGGGAUGACGGCCUUCGGGUUGUAAACCUCUUUCAGCACCGACGAAGCGCAAGUGACGGUAGGUGCAGAAGAAGGACCGGCCAACUACGUGCCAGCAGCCGCCGUAA